UACGUAGGGCGCAAGCGUUGUCCGGAAUUAUUGGGCGUAAAGAGCUCGUAGGCGGUUAGUCGCGUCUGCUGUGAAAACUCGAGGCUCAACCUCGGGCUUGCAGUGGGUACGGGCUGACUAGAGUGCGGUAGGGGUGACUGGAAUUCCUGGUGUAGCGGUGGAAUGCGCAGAUAUCAGGAGGAACACCGAUGGCGAAGGCAGGUCACUGGGCCGCAACUGACGCUGAGGAGCGAAAGCAUGGGGAGCGAACAGG
rnacentral:rRNA from 2 species